rnacentral:hammerhead_ribozyme from 11 species
UAUGUGUCGGGAUUUGGGAACCUCACUGAUGAGACCUUCCAUACGGGACGAAACAUAUC